UACGAAGGGGGCGAGCGUUGUUCGGAUUUACUGGGCGUAAAGGGCGCGCAGGCGGCAGACCAAGUCAGGCGUGAAAGCCCCGGGCUUAACCUGGGAGGUGCGUCUGGGACUGGUAUGCUAGAGUUCGGGAGAGGAGAGUGGAAUUCCCAGUGUAGAGGUGAAAUUCGUAGAUAUUCGGAGGAACACCAGUGGCGAAGGCGGCUCACUGGCUCGAUACUGACGCUGAGGUGCGAAAGCGUGGGGAGCAAACAGG
rnacentral:rRNA from 1 species